AACAGGAUUAGAUACCCUGGUAGUCCACGCCGUAAACGAUGUCGACUUGGAGGUUGUGCCCUUGAGGCGUGGCUUCCGGAGCUAACGCGUUAAGUCGACCGCCUGGGGAGUACGGCCGCAAGGUUAAAACUCAAAUGAAUUGACGGGGGCCCGCACAAGCGGUGGAGCAUGUGGUUUAAUUCGAUGCAACGCGAAGAACCUUACCUGGUCUUGACAUCCACGGAAGUUUUCAGAGAUGAGAAUGUGCCUUCGGGAACCGUGAGACAGGUGCUGCAUGGCUGUCGUCAGCUCGUGUUGUGAAAUGUUGGGUUAAGUCCCGCAACGAGCGCAACCCUUAUCCUUUGUUGCCAGCGGUCCGGCCGGGAACUCAAAGGAGACUGCCAGUGAUAAACUGGAGGAAGGUGGGGAUGACGUCAAGUCAUCAUGGCCCUUACGACCAGGGCUACACACGUGCUACAAUGGCGCAUACAAAGAGAAGCGACCUCGCGAGAGCAAGCGGACCUCAUAAAGUGCGUCGUAGUCCGGAUUGGAGUCUGCAACUCGACUCCAUGAAGUCGGAAUCGCUAGUAAUCGUGAAUCAGAAUGUCACGGUGAAUACGUUCCCGGGCCUUGUACACACCGCCCGUCACACCAUGGGAGUGGACUGCACCAGAAGUGGUUAGCCUAACUUCGGAGGGCGAUCACCACGGUGUGGUUCAUGACUGGGGUGAAGUCGUAACAAGGUAACC
rnacentral:rRNA from 1 species